UACGUAGGGGGCAAGCGUUGUCCGGAAUCAUUGGGCGUAAAGAGCGUGUAGGCGGUCCGGUAAGUCGGCUGUGAAAGUCCAGGGCUCAACCCUGGGAUGCCGGUCGAUACUGCCGGACUAGAGUUCGGAAGAGGCGAGUGGAAUUCCCGGUGUAGCGGUGAAAUGCGCAGAUAUCGGGAGGAACACCUAUGGCGAAGGCGGCUUCCUGGCCCGUUCUUGACGCUGAGGCGCGAAAGCUAGGGGAGCAAACGGG
rnacentral:rRNA from 1 species